UACGGUGGGUGCAAGCGUUGCUCGGAAUUAUUGGGCGUAAAGCGUAUGUAGGCGGUUUUCUAAGUCUGAUGUGAAAUCCCGGGGCUUAACCUCGGAACUGCAUUGGAUACUGGAAAGCUAGAGGACGAUAGAGGAUGGUGGAAUUCCAGGUGUAGGGGUGAAAUCCGUAGAUAUCUGGAGGAACAUCAGUGGCGAAGGCGGCCAUCUGGAUCGUACCUGACGCUGAGAUACGAAAGCGUGGGGAGCAAACAGG
rnacentral:rRNA from 1 species